rnacentral:rRNA from 1 species
AUUGAACGCUGGCGGCAGGCUUAACACAUGCAAGUCGAGCGGGGUGAUGGUGCUUGCACUAUCACUUAGCGGCGGACGGGUGAGUAAUGCUUAGGAAUCUGCCUAUUAGUGGGGGACAACAUCUCGAAAGGGAUGCUAAUACCGCAUACGUCCUACGGGAGAAAGCAGGGGAUCACUUGUGACCUUGCGCUAAUAGAUGAGACUAAGUCGGAUUAGCUAGUUGGUGGGGUAAAGGCCUACCAAGGCGACGAUCUGUAGCGGGUCUGAGAGGAUGAUCCGCCACACUGGGACUGAGACACGGCCCAGACUCCUACGGGAGGCAGCAGUGGGGAAUAUUGGACAAUGGGGGAAACCCUGAUCCAGCCAUGCCGCGUGUGUGAAGAAGGCCUUAUGGUUGUAAAGCACUUUAAGCGAGGAGGAGGCUCUUUUGGUUAAUACCCAAGAUGAGUGGACGUUACUCGCAGAAUAAGCACCGGCUAACUCUGCGCCAGCCGCCGCCGUAA